rnacentral:lncRNA from 1 species
ACAGACAGGCAGAGAGACAUGACCGACAACAGAGAGACUGAGUUGGGAGUAGAGAGAGUAGGAGCCAGGCAAAGACCCAAAGAGAGAGGGAGAAAAUACCACAAGAUGCAUAGAAGGAAGUGCAAAGAAAGGAGAAAAGAGAGACAGAGAUAUACUCACAGCAAGGUGCAGAGACAUGGAGACCCUAUAAGAGAUGGAAAUGGAGAGCCACAGAGGGGGAACUGCGGGCACUAAGAGAGACAUGGAGAGAACUAGAAAGAUAGAGACGUGAACACAGACACAGAGACCCAGAGCCAAAAAGAGACAGAAAUGGGGUCAUAGGUGGACAGAAAUGCACAGAGAGACUGUGAGCCCCCACAGACACAAACGCUGAGAGGGGCAGACAUGCAGAGACACCCACAGAAAUGCAGAGACAAAACCACCCGGAGACACAUGCCGAGAAACACACUGAGGGGCUCAGAAAGCGACAGAUGCAGAGAGAGCCCAAGACAGACCCAGCAAGGGGCCCCGAGAAAUGCACAGAAACACAAAGACCGAGACCACCAGAGACAGAGUAGGUCCUCCAAGGACCUACUGUGUGCCGGGCAUGGGGACGUCAAAGCACAGGGAGCUAUAAGGGAGGUAGUUGGAGCACCACGGGAGCCUGGGG